rnacentral:rRNA from 1 species
UACGUAGGGACCAAGCGUUGUUCGGAUUUACUGGGCGUAAAGGGCGCGUAGGCGGCGCGGUAAGUCACUUGUGAAAUCUCUGAGCUUAACUCAGAACGGCCAAGUGAUACUGCAGUGCUAGAGUGUGGAAGGGGUAAUCGGAAUUCUUGGUGUAGCGGUGAAAUGCGUAGAUAUCAAGAGGAACACCUGAGGUGAAGACGGGUUGCUGGGCCAACACUGACGCUGAGGCGCGAAAGCCAGGGGAGCAAACGGG